AUUGAACGCUGGCGGCAUGCUUUACACAUGCAAGUCGAACGGUAACAGGCCGCAAGGUGCUGACGAGUGGCGAACGGGUGAGUAAUGCAUCGGAACGUGCCCAGUCGUGGGGGAUAACGCAGCGAAAGCUGCGCUAAUACCGCAUACGAUCUAUGGAUGAAAGCGGGGGACCGUAAGGCCUGGCGCGAUUGGAGCGGCCGAUGUCAGAUUAGGUAGUUGGUGGGGUAAAGGCUAACCAAGCCAACGAUCUUUAGCUGGUCUGAGAGGACGACCAGCCACACUGGGACUGAGACACGGCCCAGACUCCUACGGUAGGCAGCAGUGGGGAAUUUUGGACAAUGGGCGCAAGCCUGAUCCAGCAAUGCCGCGUGCAGGAAGAAGGCCUUCGGGUUGUAAACUGCUUUUGUACGGAACGAAACGGUCCUGGUUAAUACCUGGGGCUAAUGACGGUACCGUAAGAAUAAGCACCGGCUAACUACGUGCCAGCAGCCGCAGUAA
rnacentral:rRNA from 1 species